rnacentral:tRNA from 1 species
GCCUCCUUAGUUCAACGGAUAGAAUAAACCCCUCCUAAGGGUUAGAUAUCGGUUCGAUUCCGGUAGGGGGUGCCA